rnacentral:rRNA from 1 species
GACGAAGGAUGCAAGCGUUAUCCGGAUUCAUUGGGCUUAAAGGGUGCGUAGGCGGCCAGAUAAGUCAGUGGUGAAAUCCUGUUGCUUAACAACAGAACUGCCAUUGAUACUGUUUGGCUUGAGUAUAGUUGCUGUGGGCGGAAUAUGACAUGUAGUGGUGAAAUACAUAGAGAUGUCAUAGAACACCGAUUGCGAAGGCAGCUCACAAAACUAUAACUGACGCUGAGGCACGAAAGUGCGGGGAUCAAACAGG